CUUUGGCCUUGUCUUGCUCAUUUGCUAUCUUGGGUACCAGAAAAGGCCACCAAGCUUCAGUUACAGAAAGCCACCCAUUACUCUUCCAAAGAUCUUUGCUUUCAACUCUUUCCUCAAUCGGAAGCCAGUUUGCUUGGAUCAAGAAGCUUCGACCAGCCAAGAAGGUAACUUUUUUCAUCUGGGUUGUGGAAGACAUUUGAGACUUGGAUUUAUAUAUGCUCCAUUUAUCUAUCAUUGAAGGUAGACAGAACUCUCCCAGA